rnacentral:rRNA from 1 species
UACGUAGGGUGCAAGCGUUGUCCGGAAUUACUGGGCGUAAAGCGUGCGCAGGCUGCUUCGCAAGUCAGGCGUGAAAUCCCCGGGCUUAACCUGGGAAUGGCGUCUGAAACUACGGAGCUAGAGUGUGGCAGAGGGAGGUAGAAUUCCACGUGUAGCGGUGAAAUGCGUAGAUAUGUGGAGGAAUACCGAUGGCGAAGGCAGCCUCCUGGGCCAACACUGACGCUCAUGCACGAAAGCGUGGGGAGCAAACAGG